GACGAACGCUGGCGGCGUGCUUAACACAUGCAAGUCGAACGGAAAGGCCCUGCUUUUGUGGGGUGCUCGAGUGGCGAACGGGUGAGUAACACGUGAGUAACCUGCCCUUGACUUUGGGAUAACUUCAGGAAACUGGGGCUAAUACCGGAUAGGAGCUCCUGCUGCAUGGUGGGGGUUGGAAAGUUUCGGCGGUUGGGGAUGGACUCGCGGCUUAUCAGCUUGUUGGUGGGGUAGUGGCUUACCAAGGCUUUGACGGGUAGCCGGCCUGAGAGGGUGACCGGCCACAUUGGGUCUGAGAUACGGCCCAGACUCCUACUGGAGGCAGCAGUGGGGAAUAUUGCACAAUGGGCGGAAGCCUGAUGCAGCAACGCCGCGUGCGGGAUGACGGCCUUCGGGUUGUAAACCGCUUUCGCCUGUGACGAAGCGUGAGUGACGGUAAUGGGUAAAGAAGCACCGGCUAACUACGUG
rnacentral:rRNA from 1 species